AGGAGCCUGCGCGGGACCCCAGCAUCCUGAGGCUGCCCAGGGUCGUCGGGGUCCCCGGACCCCGCGGGCGCCGCCACCGGGGCGAGCAACAGCAGCAGCGCGAGCAGCGGGGCGGUGGGGCGCGGGCCCCUGGGCCCGGACCAGGGAGCAGGCAGCCGUUGCCGGCGGGGCUGCAUGGACGCAGGAAAGUUGGCUCGGCACCCGACAGACACGGGCUCGGAGCGGGCAGUGCCGGCGCUCGCGGAAAUAAGGCCGUGGUGGGCCCCUCCCCUCCGCCCCCAGGGCGAAGAUAAUUGUGAAACACCUGUGCCAGGCCCUGGGGGAAUGAGGGUGAACAAUCUUAAACAUCUCUGCCUUCCUGGAGCACACCUUCUAGGUUGCACAGUGGCUCAGAGAGUAGACUUGGAGCCAGGCUGCCCGGUUUUAUAGCCCUGCUUGACCUGUGUGAUCCGAGAAUAAUCUUGUUUAAUCUCCACAAGUUUGAGGACUAAACUGGGUGCCACAGAGAAUUAAGUAACUGGUCGAGGUUGUAUCAGUAAGAAGGGAGCACGGAACAGAUUCAAGCUCAGGCUGGAGUGCAAUGGUGUGAUCUCACCUCACUGUAAUCUCCAUUCCCCCGGGUUCAAAAGAUUUUCCUGCCUCUACUUGCCAAGAAGCUGGGAUUCCAGGCAUGCACCACGAUGCCUAGCUAAUUUUUGUACUUUUAGUAGAAAUGGGUUCUUGCCAUGUUGACCAGGCUGGUCUUGAACUCCUGACCUCCA
rnacentral:lncRNA from 1 species